rnacentral:lncRNA from 1 species
AUGGGGACAUGGAGUGGGGACACGGAGUGGGGACAUGGAGUGGGGACAUGGAGUGGGGACACAGAGUGGGGACACGGAGUGGGACACGGGAUGGGGACAUGGAGUGGGGACAUGGCAUGGGGACAUGGAGUGGGACACGGGAUGGGGACAUGGGAGGGGACACAGAGUGGGACAUGGGAUGGGGACAUGGGAUGGGGACAUGGGAUGGGGACAUGGACUGGGACACGGGAUGGGGACAUGGAGUGGGACACGGGAUGGGGACACAGACUGGGGACACGGGACAGGGACGCGCUUGUCCCUCCUCUAUCCUGGUGUGACCUCCCCGCCCGCCGCGCUUCCCGCUCGCUCUUUGGCGCCUGCCAGCGAAUUCCCACCGUGCCAAUUUUAGCUCGGGCCCACUCCGGGAUAAAGCGGGGGUGGCUCCUGCCCUGCCAGCCCCCGGCCUGGGGACGUGCCCGGCUGUCCCCGUGCCCGGCUGUCCCCGGGCACCCGGCCCUGAGCCCCGCAGGGUGCCAGGCAGGGAGAGGAAACGGCUUUAGGGGAAAAGGGAAUUUGCGGAAAAAUGACCUUGGUGGGGUCGGAGCCUGUCCCAGCGGCUGCGGUGUGGUGCGGCCGGGCGUGGCGGGUGUCCAGGUGACAGGGCAGGGUGUCCAGGUGACAGCUGGGGGUGUCCAGGUGUGUGUGCAGUGCCCAGGUGUGUCCCCGUGCCCAGGUGUGCUCCAUGUCCAGGUGUGUGUGCCAUGUCCAGGUGUGCUCCAUGCCCAGGUGUGUGUGCUAUGUCCAGGUGUGUGCAGUGCCCAGGUGUGUGUGCUGUGCCCAGGUGUGUGUGUGCCAUGUCCCUGUGCCCAGGUGUGCUCCAUGCCCAGGUGUGUGUGCGAUGCCCAGGUGUGUGUGUGCCAUGCCCAGGUGUGUGUGCUAUGUCCAGGUGUGUGCCGUGCCCAGGUGUGCCGUGUCCCCGUGCCCAGGUGUGUGCCAUGUCCCCAUGCCCAGGUGUGUGCCGUGUCCCCGUGCCCAGCCGCUCUCCCGGGCCGUGUCCCCGCUGUCCCCUCCGUGCGCGGGGCUCCGGCACCUCCCUGUGGCAGAGCCGGGAACGGCCCCGAGCCGGGGACAGCGCGGGGACAGCGCGGGGACAGCGCGGGGACAACGCUGGGGACACCGCCGGGACACCGCGGGGACGGGGACAGUGCUGGGGACACCACAGGGACAACGCUGGGGACACCGUGGUGA